rnacentral:tRNA from 1 species
GCAUUGGUGGUUGAGUGGUAGAAUUCUUGCCUUCCACGAAGGAGACCCAAGUUUGUUUCUCGGCCACUGCA